UCCUGGGGAUACCAAGAAAGAAAAAAUGGCAUCUAAUGAAUUUAUAUAUUAUUAACAACAUACACCAAUCUUUUUAUAUAUGACAACUUUUGUAGGGAAACAAGAUCCUUUUUUUUCUUCUGUCAUCCAUGCUGGAUUACAGGUGCUUACCAUGAUGCCCAGCUAAUAUUUUUGUAUUUUUGGUAGAGACAGGGUUUUACCAUGUUGGCCAGGCUGGUCUCAAACUCCUGAUCUCAAGUAAUCCGCCUACCUUGGCCUCCGAAAGUGCUAGGAUUACAGAUCGUUAUCCUAACUGCUCUCUCAACUGUGAAGAUGCUUCUCUUCCCUCUUGGUGCUAACUUAGAUGCCACUGGGUGCAGUUGGGACAAUCAUACCUGAGGGUCUUCCCAGAAAUCGGGGUUGUGGUGAAGAGCCCAAAUAUUGAUAAACACAGUUAUUCCUGAGUAAACAGAAGAAAAAGCAGGUAAUCCAAGAGCCAAAUCAUGAAUGAACUACCAUUCACAACUGCCACAAAAGAAUAAAAUAUGUAGGAAUACAUCUAACAGGGGAAGUGAAGGACCUUUUCGAGAAGAACUACAAACCACUGCUCAGAGAAAUCUGGGAUGACACAAACAAGUGGGAAAGCAUUCCAUGCUCAUGGAUAGGAAGAAUCAAUAUCAUGAAAAUGGCCAUAUUGCCCAAAGCAAUUUAUAGAUUCAAUGCUGUUCCCAUUAAACUACUAUUGAGAUUCUUCAUAGAAUUAGAAAAAACUUUUAAAAUUCAUAUGGGGCUGGGUGCAGUGGCUCACGCCUGUAAUCCCAGCACUUUGGAAUGCCGAGUUGGGAGGAUCACUUGAGUUCAGGGGUUCAAGACCAGCCUGGCCAACAUGGUGAAACCCCCAUCUCCACUGAAAUUACAAAAAUUAGCUGGGCAUGAUGGUUGGCAUCUGUAAUCCCAGCUACUCGGGAGACUGAGACAUGAGAAUCACUUGAACCUGGGAGGUGGAGGUUGCAGUGAGCCAGGAGCACACCACUGCACUCCAGCCUGGGUGACAGAGAGUCAGUCUCAAAAAAAAAAAAAAAAAAUCAUAUGGAACUCAAAAAGAGCCUGAAUAGCCAAGACAAUCCUAAGAAAACAAACAAACAAACAAACAAACAAACCAAAGCUGGAGGCCUCUCCAAAUUAUACCACAAGACUACAGUAACUAAAAAAGCAUGGUACUGGUACAAGAACAGACACAGAGACCAAUGGAACAGAAUAGGGAACCCAGAAAUAAGACUGCAC